CACGGGGGUUGCGAGCGUUGUCCGGAAUUACUAGGCGUAAAGGGCAGGCAGGCGGAUCCAUAAGUUUAUCGUUUAAGGCGUCGGUUUAACCGGCGUAGGGCGGUAGAUACUGUGGAUCUGGAAUGCGGUUGGGGAAGACAGAAUUCCUGGUGUAGCGGUGGAAUGCGCAGAGAUCAGGAGGAAUACCGAAGGCGAAGGCAGUCUUCCAAGCCGUUAUUGACGCUCAACUGCGAAGGUGUGGGUAUCAAACAGGAUUAGAUACCCCGGUAGUCCCUGAGCGGG
rnacentral:rRNA from 1 species